rnacentral:tRNA from 1 species
UGAGGUGUAGUUUAAUCAUAAAAUUUUAAUUUUCCAAGUUAAAGAUCUUUUAAAUAGAGUACCUUU